GUUGACCUCGGAUCAGGUAGGAAUACCCGCUGAACUUAAGAAUAUCAAUAAGCGGAGGA
rnacentral:rRNA from 1 species